AAUGACACUUUACUCUUUGUUUGAAGGUGUAUGUAUGAUCAAGAGUUUGGAUAGGCGACACCUGGAAUAAUUGGUCAAACCCGUCGUCCUCUUAAAACCCUAAUUGCCAAACGAAAGUUCUAUCUACCAAAUCUUCUUCCUGACUGCAGAGGAGGAAAACAAUGAGUCGGUCUAGCAGAACGCUGUAUGUUGGUAACCUUCCUGGGGAUAUUCGAGAGCGAGAAGUGGAAGAUUUGUUCUACAAGUAUGGUCCAAUAGCUCAUAUUGAAUUGAAAGUUCCACCAAGACCUCCAGGUUAUGCUUUUGUGGAGUUUGAGGAGGCUCGUGAUGCCGAUGAUGCUAUUCGUGGUCGCGAUGGCUAUGAUUUUGAUGGGCACAAAUUACGGGUGGAACUUGCCCAUGGUGGUCGAGGCAGCUCAUCUUAUAAAGAUCGUUAUAACAGUCAUAGCAGUGGUCGUGGUGGUCGGGGUGGUGGAGUUUCUCGACGGUCUGAUUACAGAGUUUUGGUGACUGGUUUACCCUCUUCUGCUUCAUGGCAAGACCUCAAGGAUCAUAUGCGUCGCGCUGGAGAUGUUUGUUUCUCCCAAGUUUUUCGGGAGGGAAGUGGCACCACCGGGAUUGUGGACUACACAAACUAUGAUGAUAUGAAAUAUGCUAUACGGAAAUUGGAUGACACUGAGUUUCGGAACGCUUUCUCACGUGGAUACAUACGUGUGAAGGAAUAUGAUUCAGGCCGUUCUAGAAGCCGUAGUCGAAGCAAAAGCAGGGGCUAUAGCAGGAGUCGAAGCAGGAGCCUAAGCAAGUCCCCUAAAGCAAAAUCUUCUCGUCGCUCAAGAUCUCGUUCUCGUUCUGGAUCUAAACCUCGCUCAAGAUCUCGUUCUGGAUCUAAACCUCGCUCUUUAUCAAGUUUUGGAAUUCUUUAUGGUGUUGUUAAGUACCCAUCAUCAAUGCACAUGGUUGCUGGAUUUUGGGAAGGUGAAGAAUCAUGGAUAUGGAUUGCAAUUAUAAAGCUGGAGUUUGAACAAGAAGAUUCAUGGAUAUGGAUUGCAAUGGAUUUAAAUAAGCCUCGUUUUUGCUAUUUAAUUUAUGACUUUUGGUUUGUCAUAAUAUUUUUUGAUUAAUAUUGAUUAUGGUUACUGAGUCACUAAGGUGGAUGUGGCAUCAAGGCUCUUGGAUCAGAAUUGUUAAAGAGGAACACAUGGGUAUUAAAAUCUGUUUCUGUAACUUUUGCAGAUCUCCUUCAAGAUCCAGAUCUCCUGUACCAUCUCGUGAGAAGGUUGUUAGUAAAAGCCCCAAAAGACGCAGUCCUAGCAAAAGCAAGAGUCCUGAAAGAAGAAGCAGGAGCAAGAGUUUAUCAAGGUGAUGAAAAUUUUCAAGGUUUUUUGAUGAUUAGUUGCCUUGCCUUGGUCUGGUGAUGUUACCUUAUUAAGUCGAAUAGUAAAAUUACAUGGAAGACUGUUUUGACUGUUUCUCUAAAAAAGAUUGUGCAACCAAGUUGGGUAUUUAAUUUUUGAAAAAAAACUUGUUUUCGUAUUCUGUUAUUAUCCUCCUAUUGUACUAGCCUGCCUAGUGGGCCGUCAACUUGGUUUCAAGCAAAUGUCGAUUGGGUUUAAA